rnacentral:rRNA from 1 species
UACGAGGGGUGCAAGCGUUACUCGGAAUUACUGGGCGUAAAGCGUGCGUAGGUGGUUCGUUAAGUCUGUCGUGAAAGCCCUGGGCUCAACCUGGGAACUGCAGUGGAAACUGGACGACUAGAGUGUGGUAGAGGGUAGCGGAAUUCCUGGUGUAGCAGUGAAAUGCGUAGAGAUCAGGAGGAACAUCCAUGGCGAAGGCAGCUACCUGGACCAACACUGACACUGAGGCACGAAAGCGUGGGGAGCAAACAGG